AAAAACCAAAUUAUAAAUUAUAAACUAGAAAUAAAAAUUAAAUUUGUUCACAGUCCAUAAAUACUAAAACCCAAACAUUAAUUGAAGCCCAAAUUUUAAAACCCACUCCACAAAUAAGACCAAGGCCUAAUCCUAGCCCCAAAUACAGAUUAUAGCCCCAAACCUAAAAACCCAAAUUUACACCAACUCAAGUACAAAUCUCUAACCCAACUGAAUAAACCCAAAACCCGACCUAGUUACUAAAAAACCUAAAAACAUUUCAGCAAACCCUAGCUAGACAGAGCCGCAAGACCUUUACGCGCGCCACCACGUGCAUCUCCUUACGGCCAUCUCCACGUCAGUCGAACCUGUGAGAAGAAAAGAGUAACAGAAUACAGCAAAGCAAUAGCAGAAAAAAUAAAGAAAAUUUGUAUUUAUAUUUUACCUUUAUUCGGCUAUAAAAGGAGGCCCAUUGUAUACUGUAAAAAGACUUACGAAUGCAAUAGACAUCAGUCAAAAUAGAAAAAUGAAAAAUAGUUUAUUCAAAGGUAUAUUUUCAUGAUUUUUCAGUCUAUACACCGAAUAUAAUAUACAUACAUAUAUAGUUAUAUAAAAAUACCUUUUAUUUUUACCUUUUUGGGCGAUCGGAAGAAAGGAAACUGAAUGGUUUUCUCGAUUUCUUUCAACGGUCGUGGGUUUUUUCGAGUGUUUGAGACUCAUAUCUGAGGUGGGGAAAGCAAAAGGAUUAAAAUGGGCCAUUUUUUGCACCUCCGGCUGCCGUGCACGGCUGUCACUGGUGACGGAUGGAUGGUGGUCCGAUCGUCGGAAAUGGAUUGCCCAGAGAGAAAUCCUCCCCCUCCCUUUUCUUUUUUUCAGAAAGUAUGAAGAAAU
rnacentral:lncRNA from 1 species